rnacentral:rRNA from 1 species
UACGUAGGGUGCGAGCGUUGUCCGGAAUUAUUGGGCGUAAAGAGCUCGUAGGCGGCUAGUCGCGUCUGCUGUGAAAUCCCGGGGCUUAACCCCGGGCGUGCAGUGGAUACGGGCAGGCUGGAGGCAGGCAGGGGGGAACGGAAUUCCCGGUGUAGCGGUGAAAUGCGCAGAUAUCGGGAGGAACACCGGUGGCGAAGGCGGGUCUCUGGGCCUGUACUGACGCUGAGGAGCGAAAGCGUGGGGAGCGAACAGGAUUAGAAACCCCAGUAGUCC